rnacentral:lncRNA from 10 species
ACAGAGAGAGAGUAUAUAGUAUAUAUACAUAACUCCUGACCUCGUGAUCCACCUACCUUGGCCUCCCAAAGUGCUAGGAUUACAGGCGUGAGUCACCACAUCCAUCCGGUAAUUUUUUUUUAAACUCUCUCUUGUACCUGUAUCUUAUGUUUAACCGAAAAAGGUUGAAAAUUGAGUUGCUAGACUUAAUCAUUAUUUUCCCUGGCUGAAGGGAUAGUGGGAGGGGUCAAGCCUCUAAAAGGGAGAUAUCUGGGCCAGGCGCCGUGACUCACACCUGUAAUCCCAGCACUUUGGGAGGCCAAGGCGGGUGGAUCAAAAGGUCAAGCGAUCAAGACCAUCCUGGCCAACAUGGUGAAAUCCUGUCUCUACUAAAAAUACAAAAAUUAGCUGGGCGUGGUGGUGCAUGCCUGUAGUCCCAGCUACUUGGGAGGCUGAGGCAGGAGAAUUGCUUGAACCCAGGAAGCGGAGGUUGCAGUGAGCCGAGAUAAUGCCACUGCACUCCAGCCUGGUGACAGAGCAAGACAGCAAGACUCCAUCUAAAAAAAAAAAAAAAAAAAGCAAUCUCUGCACACUGGCAGCAAUGUGAAUAAAUAAAAGGACUAAGGAUUACUGAAUAUUUGUCAGUUAAAGAAAAGCCAACUCAGUGUCUAUAAGAAUAAAUCAUUCUUGACUAUUCUUUCAGAAGGAAAGCAAAUUUACAGAGAAAGGGGAGAAAUAAUGAAUUUAUUUGAUUUUUGGAAAAAUCUUUGAAAAAUUUUCACACCAAUAGCUAUUCCUUAGUUGAGUUAGCCUAGGGUUUCACUAUGAGAAAAGAAUUAACAUCAAGGUAGUAGGGCAGAGACAUUAUUAAAUGGAGAAGUGUAAAUUGUGGUAUUUCCUGAGGAAGCAAUUCUGGGUCAGUCCAAUUUAAUGGUUUAUUAUGUUUUGGAAAAGACAGUAAAAUCUCUACAUUUGAAAAUGAUACUACAUUUUUAUGGGGAGUGAGAUGUCAAAAUGACAAGGAUAAACUAGGCAAAGCGAAAACAGCAGACAAUUUUGGCCUAUAUAUAAGUUAACAAGCACAUUAGUGGGAAAAUCAUCCAAGCUCUAGUUAUACAUGGAUUUGAUUGCUGAGUCACAAUGGGGCACAGGAAUCUAGGCGUCACUGAGGCUGCUUUUUAAAGAUACCCCAAUGAUCUGUUGACAUUUAAAAAAUCAGCACAAGGUUAUUGGAAACAAGGCAACUGACAUUGUUGAUUUUCCUAUCCAUGAACAACAUAGCUCUUAUGACUCCUCUCAGCACAUUUGGCUCCGAGACCCAGAAGCAUGAAUAGAAGGAGCUGGCCAUCCAGGGCAUGCUUUUCUACCCUGUGCAAUCAUAUCACACAGCAUGACCAUGCUUAUGUAUAAGGACAGAAUGUGUGUUGGCCACAUCACUGGUAAGAACCCAGACAGCAUUUCUUGGGCUCUGAUAGUCACCAGAAAAUGGAAGGACGUUUAUUGAGAAGUUACAACGUGAAAGGCACUCUGCUGGGUUUAGGAAGGAUAUGUAGAUAAAUUAGACAGUGUGCUUACCUACUUGAGCUCCAAGCCUACUCAGAGAAAUAAAACUAUUGCAAUAUGGAGGAGUUGGUAAUUAUGCUGAGAGGUGUGGUUGUGGGUGUUCAGAGGAAAGCGAAACCAAAUUCUGUCAUUUAUUCAUGUUAGUUCAACUAACAUGUAUUGAGUACCACUAUUCAUUCAUGUAUUAAUCAAUAUUUAUUUACUACUAUGUGCGAGCCACUUUUCUAGGUGCUGGGAUGUAGCGGUGAAAAAGACAAGGUCCCUGUUCUCAUGAAGUUAAGACAGAUUAUUUUUAAAGGAUCAAAAUAGAUGUGAUAACAUGAAAUAGAUAAGUGCUAUGAAGAAAACAAAACAAAUGGAUGUGAUGGAGUGGCUGGAGGUUGGUGGUUCCUUUAUAUGGAAUCAGAACAAGUCUCCCAGAGAGGUGACGUCUGAUACCUGUUGAUUAGAAGGAGCCUGCUGUGGGAAGACGCCCAAGAAGAGCUUUCUAGGCAGAGGGAACAGCAAGUGUGAAGGCCCUAAGGUGGGAAGGAGCUUGGUGUGCUUGAAAAUCAGAAGAAAGACCAGUUAUAGCUCAGCAAGCCUGGAGAAGCCAGACAGACAAGGCUGGAAGAAGACCUUGUUCUUCCUUUUGUGGAUCCCUCAACCCUCAUAGCCCAACAGAAAAAAAGAACAUGUCAAAAGAACUAGGAGCAUAAUGCUGAGGAAGAGGGACUAUGGACACUAUGGACCAGCAUACGACAAACACACAAAAAUCUGGACACGGGGUGGAUGCGGUGGCUCAUGCCUGUCAUCCCAACACUUUAGGAGGCCGAGGUGGGCAGACACCUUGAGUCCAGGAGUUCGAGAACAGCUUGAGCAACAUGGUGAAACCCCAUCCCUACAAUAAAAUAAAAUAAAAAAUUAG